ACCAAGAUACUCCUUUUUUAAAAAGAAUGCCGAACAACUCUUAUUCUUUAGCAUGGUAGAAGUUAUAUCACCUAGAUUCUUUGGAAUACCCUACAAAAUAAUACAUACAGAGUCAGGAUCCAAGCUAAUCGAUCUGCAAAUGCUCGACAUAAACUGAAUACUUUCAAAUCCUAAGGUAAGAAAGUAUUAGCUUACGCCUAGUCCCUAUCUCAUAUGGAGUCAUUGCAACUGAUUAAUUCAGAAUCCAACUCAGAACAUAAUAAAAGUCUUAAGAGCAUAACCCUAAAAAGAGACUAGCAGACUUACAAACCCCAUCAUGGAUCAAACUAUAUCUAACAAAGUCGAUUUCAAUAAGAGAGAAUUCUAUUCUCUUCUAGAUAUGUCAAAAAUUUAUCGAAAAAACAUUCUCCUCUUUGG
rnacentral:lncRNA from 1 species